rnacentral:rRNA from 1 species
GACGAACGCUGGCGGCGUGCUUAACACAUGCAAGUCGAACGAUGAAGCUGGAGCUUGCUCCGGUGGAUUAGUGGCGAACGGGUGAGUAACACGUGAGCAAUCUGCCCUUGACUCUGGGAUAACUGCGGGAAACUGUAGCUAAUACCGGAUACUUUCACUGGAAGGCAUCUUCUGGUGAAGAAAGAAUUUCGGUCAAGGAUGAGCUCGCGGCCUAUCAGCGUGUUGGUGAGGUAACGGCUCACCAAGGCGACGACGGGUAGCCGGCCUGAGAGGGUGACCGGCCACAAUGGGAAUGAGACACGGCCCAGACUCCUACGGAAGGCAGCAGUGGGGAAUAUUGCACAAUGGGCGCGAGCCGGAUGCAGCAACGCCGCGUGAGGGAUGAAGGCCUUCGGGUUGUAAACCUCUUUUAGCAGGGAAGAAGCGAAAGUGACGGUACCUGCAGAAAAAGCACGGGCUAACUACGUGCCAGCCGCCGCAGUAA